AUUGACACAGCUGCUUGUGAGAGCCUGCGAGGACCUUUGAAUCGGAUUGGUUUGAGGAACAUAAAAUGUAUCACCCCUGAAUGCAGCCAAGUGGGAUAUAUAUUCAUGGAAUUGCUGACAACGACUUCUGUUGCGGAACAACUCCAUUCCAACAGGGCUCAGCCCAGCUGGAUAUGGACAAUCUGAGAUUUAUCUCUGAUUAAGUUUGAGAAAAUGGAAUAAAAGCGUAAAAAAGCCCCAAAAAAGGUUUGAAAAAAAAAAAAGUUAUUUGAAAUAGUAAAACCAUAUCAUCACCAACGUAUCAGUCUUACCUAAAAACCAUCCUCUGCUUGCAGUGUUACGAGCUCUCGAGGAGAGGGAUCCGCUCUAAAGACAAAACGUACAUCUCUGCAAAGCAAGGAGGACAUUACGCUGUCACGAUGUUCACCAGGGGACAUCGGCUUCUCAAUCCCCGAGAUGAGGAGAAAGCUACAACGAUCUUUCAUGACAGAUGUACACCUCACUUGGGGUAGAAAUUACAACCAACGCUCCCGUGUGCUAUGAAACGUAUCCUCAGAUGCGUGCCGACAACAAACGCUUGUGGCCUUCACGCACUGGAUGUUAAUGGCUAGACAACGGCCUUUGGGUGUUUCCCCAUCUUGUCUCCGCAAUUGCACAAAAGCUAUUUGCUCAGCCAAGUCACAGCUGGGUACAACGACAGUCACCUCAUGCUCCUUGACGGAGUACGGUGGAGCUAAGCGGCGCGAGCACCGCGGAUGCUGGGAAUGAAAAGGUUCUUGUUCAGCGCUGAUUGCAAAGAUAAUUGUUGGAGCUGAGAGCCAAAGAAGCCCCCUACCCCCCAUGCCUUUCCUUCAGCCUCCUCCACAGUCUUCACUUAAAUCGUAAAUACGGCACAAACGCGAGGCACCGUCCGCCUUACAGUCCCAAACCCUGAACCCAAAGUACGACGACUCAACCAGAAAACAGCCGGUGCUGAGAAGUUCACACCACAUCCUCCUCCAUGGGUUUCCUGUGUUUGCAGCAAAGGCAGUGAACUUGAUUUACUUCAGUGUGAGAGAUUUAAUGAGGAUCUGCUUCUUGUUUUCUCUUCUCUCGAAUUUUCUGCACACUUUCUGGAGGUCAUUAAGGAGAAGAAAGAGUAUGAUACGACCACUCGGCCUGCAGAAGAGGCGUGAAGGUUCUUGUGAAAUGGAAAGUAUGUGUCGGGUAUACGUCAAAGAAACCUGACUGACUGGGAGUUUAAUGUAAUGAUCCUAAACUACAGUCUAUGUAAAUACACCAUAACAAUUACCUGGUCCAUGAAAGCUACAUCCCUGGGACAUUUGACCUAUUUUAUUCUACUUUAUUCUUAUAAUUCACAAAAUCACAAAUUCCUGUAUGUGUAACAUAAAUUGCUUCCGAUUUGGAUUCUGAAACAUCCAAGGGCUCAUUGGACUGAUCUCUGGUGGGGACGAGUCCGCCUACAGGUGGAGUCUGACCACCUGGUGUCGUGGUGCAGCCAGAACAACCUGGAGCUCAACGCUCUAAAGACAGUGGAGAUGGUUGUG
ensembl:lncRNA